rnacentral:rRNA from 1 species
UACGUAGGGGGCAAGCGUUGUCCGGAUUUACUGGGCGUAAAGAGCGCGUAGGCGGAAGCUUAAGUGUGGCCUGAAAGCCCCCGGCUCAACCGGGGAAGGUGGCUGCAAACUGGGCUUCUUGAGGGGGAUAGGGGAAAGUGGAAUUCCGGGUGUAGCGGUGGAAUGCGUAGAGAUCCGGAAGAACACCGGUGGCGAAGGCGGCCUGCUGGGCAGUAGCUGACGCUGAGGCGCGACAGCGUGGGGAGCAAACAGG